UAAAACCCUAGACCUAACAUCAUCAGAGACCUAACACCCCUAGACAUCGAUCAACGCCAUUCCCAUCGAGCAAUAGAUCCCCCUCCCCCAAAACUUCAUUUUCUUCACAAAAGACCUAAGCGAGUUCUUUAUCUUCAACCAGCAAAACCCAAGUCAGUCGUUGUUCCUUCACCUCACACCAGACGACCCUAUCUCCAUCAGCUACUCACCCAGAAUCUAGCACAUCAACAAACGCCUAAGUCUAAAAGAGCAGCUCACAUCCAGUUCUGUUUCUUCUUCAACAAAAUCAACGACCUCUCACCGUAGCUGACCCCCAAAAAUCAGCACACACAAGAACGCCAUUCAGAAGAUAAAAGUGAAAAACAGGAGCGCACGCGAAAUGAUUAAGACAAAAAAACUGAGCAACUGGAAUUUUGAAAUUGAAAUCAGAAAUUUUUACUGUUUCUGCCGCUGGCAAGUUUGGCCCGUUGAUUGUUGUUCCUCGCUCGUUCUCUGUUGCUUUGGGAUCUGCUGAUCUUUGCACUUCCACUAGCCUUCAUUCAGCUAUUGUUUUCUCUGUUUAUCCUGCUCUUAAGUGUAUGCCUUGGCUACCCUUUGGGGAUAUCAGUGUGGAAGGCCGGGGAAGUGCUUCCGAUGGCUCCUUGGAAGAUAUUUUCUUCGAGCUCAUGCGCCCGGAGGAGAUGGAAUCUAGAGGUGCUGACGCCGUGGUGGGUCUUUGAGUGCUUAAGCUAGGACCUACGCCUUCACUAUAUGUGCCCCUUUGUUUCUUUGCUUCUGUGUAGAGACCCUUUGUGGGCUUUUGUAAUCAUAUGUAUGGAUCUCUCGGGGUCGUUGUAGAUGGAAUUUUAUGAACAUGAAUAUAUUCCUUUGA